GACGAACGCUGGCGGCGUGCUUAACACAUGCAAGUCGAACGGAAAGGCCCUGCUUUUGUGGGGUGCUCGAGUGGCGAACGGGUGAGUAACACGUGAGUAACCUGCCCUUGACUUUGGGAUAACUUCAGGAAACUGGGGCUAAUACCGGAUAGGAGCUCCUGCUGCAUGGUGGGGGUUGGAAAGUUUCGGCGGUUGGGGAUGGACUCGCGGCUUAUCAGCUUGUUGGUGGGGUAGUGGCUUACCAAGGCUUUGACGGGUAGCCGGCCUGAGAGGGUGACCGGCCACAUUGGGACUGAGAUACGGCCCAGACUCCUACGGGAGGCAGCAGUGGGGAAUAUUGCACAAUGGGCGGAAGCCUGAGGCAGCAACGCCGCGUGCGGGAUGACGGCCUUCGGGUUGUAAACCGCUUUCGCCUGUGACGAAGCGUGAGGGACGGUAAUGGGUAAAGAAGCACCGGCUAACUACGG
rnacentral:rRNA from 1 species